GCAAGUCGAGGGGUAACAUUGUGCUUGCACAGAUGAAGACCGGCGCACGGGUGCGUAACGCGUAUAGAACCUACCUUUUACAGAGGGAUAGCAUUUAGAAAUGAAGAUUAACACCUCAUAGUAUUAUUGAUUGGCAUCAAUUAAUAAUUAAACAUUUAUGGGUAAAAGAUGGCUAUGCGUCCUAUUAGCUAGAUGGUAAGGUAACGGCUUACAUGGCAACGAUAGGUAGGGGUCCUGAGAGGGAGAUC
rnacentral:rRNA from 1 species